AAUUUACCUAUCUUCCACGCUAGCGGUCAGCAAAAACUCCAAAAACAGUUGAAAACAUAGAAGAGUUUUUUUAUUUUUAUUUUGUGGGUUGGGAUAUUAUAAAACCGUGAGUGGUAUGAAACAAGAAAAGAAAGCAUUUAAUUUACAGGCACAAACAAGUCGGUCUGUAAUAAUUAAUUUAACCGAGGUAUGAACUAUGAACUGGACUUUUACAUUGUUUGUUAGCUUGCUGACUUCGAGGUUGGGACAUUUGUGAGAGACAGCUUUGUUGUGGUUUUGUCUGGCUUCCUCCAGAUUCCAGCAAUUAAAGAAUGGCUUAGCAUCAAUUCAGGCUGGAUUACUCUUCAAAUUUCAAGAGCCAGGAAAAGUGACCUGUUGAAGCCUAGAGAAUGAAUAUCUGGAGCUUCUGUUACAGUGGCAAUGAGGACACUUGGUGUAGUCUUCUACUGUAUUGUAAGAAGAUUUGGCAAGUCUCUAAAUCGCAAUAGUCAUGAGACCGACGCAUUCUUCAGGCAGCAGAUAUUGCUCGAGUCUUCGAUCGAGGUGGAAUUUGGAGCCAAAAUUUCAUCAUGUCGUAUGCAGUGAAACCAAUUGCAACGGAAGGAACAAUCUAGGAACAUCACAUAAUUUGUGUUAGCAAGACGUUAUGAAUCAUGAUUCAAGUACAGUGGUCUCAGUGCAUGUAACCUACACCAGAAAAAGUAUAGCAAAGCCUAAAAUGCUUCUUUGAAGCAUUUGAAAUGUUAAAUAAGCCAUCAUCUACUCAACUUGGAGCUUUGAGAAGCCUAUAUAGUUGAGCUUUGAGAAAAUUACUCUGUGCGUGUGUUGUUUUCUGAAGUGAUAAAUUUACCAAUAAGAACAAGGCCUCGGUGUUGCACUGUGUCUAGGAGACUCAUGAAAAUUUCUAUUGUCUGUGUGCUUGUGCGUUUUUAUAAUUAAAAAGUUCAGUGAAGGGCAAAAGUCAUAUUGUUGUGGUGUUUUUAUGA